ensembl:lncRNA
GCAUGCUAAAACUACCCUACACUAUAAUUUAGAAUGGGAAAGGUCUGUCAGUUUAUCCUUGCUACAGGUUGCACUGAAAGGGACACAGCCACAGUAGAUGUCACCAAUGCGUACCAUCAUCCCAAGGGUCUGGGGCUCACAGAGAUAUCUAAAACUUGGAACAGAAGUGCAGCUGAGAGACCACGCAGAGGAAGAAGACCAGGGUGUACUUCUAACAGCUCUCCUGCAGCUAUCAGCACAUGCCGGUGGACUUGUUAUAGCACGCUGAACGGCACGUUCUUGCUGGCUCACUGGGGCCUGAUCCAAAGCUUACUGCAGGCAAUGAGGAAGAUUCGUGGACUUCUUCAGUGGCCUUUGGACUGCCCUGCGGACACAGAAGCACAAUGGCUGGGAUCUGCAGAGCGGAAUAUUCAGCUCAGGAGCUAGGAGUUUCUGAUAAAUCACCGCAGGGAUUUACCCCAGGGUCUCUUCUACAGUGUUUCAAGUAAAGAGGAUGCUGGGAUGGAGUAUUUAGCUAACAGCGUAAUCAUGCAGUGAUGAACUGCGGAGUUCACAGCCAAAGAACUGAUCUGCAAGCAAUGCUGGAGGCCUCCCGGCAGACAGCAUGUCACGUCCACUGCCACGUGCUGUAUCCUUGAAAGCAGACUGUCACGAGGGGAGUUGGAGAAUAACGUUGGAAACAAAGCUGUACCUCGGUCAUUGGCCGUUGAAUUCAUCCCAGAAGAAAUGCAAAGACCACCAACAAUGUGGACAGGUGUGAAUUAUAAAUAGCAUCAACAGGAGGCCUUCAGUGUCCCUAGUGCAUUAACUCCACA